rnacentral:rRNA from 1 species
UUAUAAGAGACAGCAGUAGCCGCGGUAAUACGGAGGAUCCAAGCGUUAUCCGGAAUCAUUGGGUUUAAAGGGUCCGUAGGCGGUUUAGUAAGUCAGUGGUGAAAGCCCAUCGCUCAACGGUGGAACGGCCAUUGAUACUGCUGAACUUGAAUUAUUAGGAAGUAACUAGAAUAUGUAGUGUAGCGGUGAAAUGCUUAGAGAUUACAUGGAAUACCAAUUACGAAGGCAGGUUACUACUAAUUGAUUGACGCUGAUGGACGAAAGCGUGGGGAGCGAACAGGAUUAGAUACCCCGGUAGUCCCUGUCUCUUAUAA